AGUCGAGCGCGCCUUUCGGGGUGAGCGGCGGACGGGUUAGUAACGCGUGGGAAUAUACCCUUUGGUACGGAAUAGCCUCUGGAAACGGAGAGUAAUACCGUAUGAGCCCUUCGGGGGAAAGAUUUAUCGCCAAAGGAUUAGCCCGCGUUAGAUUAGGUAGUUGGUGGGGUAAUGGCCUACCAAGCCUACGAUCUAUAGCUGGUUUUAGAGGAUGAUCAGCAACACUGGGACUGAGACACGGCCCAGACUCCUACGGGAGGCAGCAGUGGGGAAUCUUGGACAAUGGGGGCAACCCUGAUCCAGCCAUGCCGCGUGAGUGAUGAAGGCCUUAGGGUCGUAAAGCUCUUUCGCCAGGGAUGAUAAUGACAGUACCUGGUAAAGAAACCCCGGCUAACUCCGUGCCAGCAGCCGCGGUAAUACGGAGGGGGUUAGCGUUGUUCGGAAUUACUGGGCGUAAAGCGCACGUAGGCGGACUGGAAAGUUGGGGGUGAAAUCCCAGGGCUCAACCCUGGAACUGCCUCCAAAACUAUCAGUCUAGAGUUCGAGAGAGGUGAGUGGAAUUCCGAGUGUAGAGGUGAAAUUCGUAGAUAUUCGGAGGAACACCAGUGGCGAAGGCGGCUCACUGGCUCGAUACUGACGCUGAGGUGCGAAAGUGUGGGGAGCAAACAGGAU
rnacentral:rRNA from 1 species